UUCUGCUGAUACCAGUACAGGUAUGGAUAGCUGCUGUCACCGUGAUGACAAUAAAGCUUUGCCUGUUUCUCCUUCACAGGCUGUAGAAGAUGUUGGGGAGACUGCUGAAUGACAGGAGAACAGACCACACAAACUACAACAGGGACAGUGUAGAAGUGCCAGGAAAAUAUGAGAAGAAAGAGACAGGACUGCACUGGAAUAUGUCCAAGGCUGUAGAAGAUGUUGGGGAGACUGCUGAAUGACAGGAGAACAGACCACACAAACUACAACAGGGACAGUGUAGAAGUGCCAGGAAAAUAUGAGAAGAAAGAGACAGGACUGCACUGGAACAUGUCCAAGGCUGUAGAAGAUGUUUGGGAGACUGCUGAAUGACAGGAGAACAGACCACACAAACUACAACAGGGACAGUGUAGAAGUGCCAGGAAAGUAUGAGAAGAAAGAGAUGGAACUGGACUGGAACAUGUCCAAGGCUGUAGAAGAUGUUGGGGAGACUGCUGAAUGACAGGAGAACAGACCACACAAACUACAACAGGGACAGUGUAGAAGUGCCAGGAAAAUAUGAGAAGAAAGAGACAGGACUGCACUGGAACAUGUCCAAGGCUGUAGAAGAUGUUGGGGAGACUGCUGAAUGACAGGAGAACAGACCACACAAACUACAACAGGGACAGUGUAGAAGAGCCAGGAAAGUAUGAGAAGAAAGAGACAGGACUGCACUGGAAUAUGUCCAAGACUGUAGAAGAUGUUUGGGAGACUGCUGAAUGACAGGAGAACAGACCACACAAACUACAAGAAGGAGAGCAUAUCAAUGCAUGUACAUUAAAUAAUUUAGACUGCUUUGCAUUGGAAAUGCUUACCUGUUAA